rnacentral:rRNA from 1 species
UGCCAGACUCCUACGGGAGGCAGCAGUGGGGAAUAUUGGGCAAUGGGCGCAAGCCUGACCCAGCAACGCCGCGUGAAGGAAGAAGGCUUUCGGGUUGUAAACUUCUUUUAAGAGGGAAGAGUAGAAGACGGUACCUCUUGAAUAAGCCACGGCUAACUACGUGCCAGCAGCCGCGGUAAUACGUAGGGGGCAAACGUUAUCCGGAUUUACUGGGUGUAAAGGGAGCGUAGACGGCAGUGCAAGUCUGAAGUGAAAGGCAAGGGCUCAACCCUUGGACUGCUUUGGAAACUGUGCUGCUGGAGUGUCGGAGAGGCAAGUGGAAUUCCUAGUGUAGCGGUGAAAUGCGUAGAUAUUAGGAGGAACACCAGUGGCGAAGGCGGCUUGCUGGACGAUGACUGACGUUGAGGCUCGAAAGCGUGGGGAGCAAACAGGAUUAGAUACCCCCGUAA